GGAGGCUUUCCUGAGAAGGGAAAAUUGGCCCUGGGCUCUGGAGAAGACAUGGAACUUCUGAUGUGGGAUGGUGAAGGGUAUGGGCACUGCCAAAAUCCCCCCUGGACUCCCCCAGCAUCCCCUCUGUCCCUGCCUCCUCGCUCCUCCUGCUUUGAAGCUGAGCUGGCAUUUGCUUCUCUGUCUCAUCACUCUCUUUUCUUUAUUCAAGAAAAGCUGGCCGGGCA
rnacentral:lncRNA from 1 species